rnacentral:lncRNA from 1 species
GCGGCCCGGAUAUCUCUGCGCGGCAGCCCCCGCGGUCGAUCAAUCUCAGUCCCGCACUGCCGUCCCGCCCCGCCCUGUGCCCGCCAAUCCACGACGCCAUAAUCCCCCGCCGUGUCCCUCCCUUCCUCCCCAUUGGUUGUGACCGCACGUCAGCCCGACUCAGCCUGCCAAUCGCAGGACCCAGAGGGCCCUCUCCCCCGCCCGCUCAGUGUAAUUCGAGUUCCCUGUCCAUCGACUCCAAGUCCUCUCUCCUGCGCCGCAUGCUGCCUCGCGCUCCCUUUCCUUCCCCCUCUACCCCCUUCCGCGAUUUACUGUUUCCUCGCGCCCAACAGAAAUGGGCGACCGCAAGUCUUACUCUCGCCGGCGUUACAAAGAUUAUUUAAAUUUUCCACAAAUUUCUACGGAUUAAUUCAAUGGCAGCUCACUUUCUCCUUUUAUGAUCGGAUGGGUCCGAAAGUGAGGAAAAAGACAAUUGUCUACAAAGAAAGAGGCUGCCAAGUGGAGACAGAAAAGCAGUUAUGAGACUGAUGAUAGAUUCCAAUUUGUUAUCGAAAGGAAGGAGGAGACCUGAACAGUACAUCCGGAGAAUCCAGCAAAGCAUACUACGGCAUGAACGUGCAAGUGGACAGAAUUAAAACACAUGCCAGAAACACUAAUGGAUUCUAAACAAGAUGCAGUUUCAUUUCCUGAGCCUAUACGUGAUGUUUUUAACUGUUCUCCAGUUAAUAUGUCUCCAUUUCCAGAAAUCUAACAGGAGAAUCUCUGACUGCUUAACAGAUCACCUAAGCUUGCGAUUUGUGCAAUCCUUUCUAGAGUAAGGGCUCCCCGGCUGCUCCCCGGCCACUGUGUACCCAAAGCAGCGGCUGAAAUAGCCCGGAGUCCAACAGCUCAGCGUCAAGCAGCUCGUGGUUUGUACUUACAUCAUUUUUUUUUUCAGAGCAAGAGUGAAAGUUUAUUAAAAAGCGUUAGAACAGUAAGGAAAGGAAAGGAGAGAAAAUAAGGAAAGUACAACUUGGAAGAGGGCCAAGCGGGCGACUUGAGAAAUCAAGUGCCUGUACUUACAUCAUUCUUAACCCUUUCGCUCCUGGAGGGGGCUCAGCGGGAUCAGGGGGCCCCUGAACUUCGGAACACGCAGGACCUGGGUGUGAGAGAAGAGUCCCAAAGCUUGGCGUGAGCAAUGCACUCGCGGAGGGAGAGAGCCCGGGGCUUGCGGGGGGCUCAUCACCCGCUCGUAGACAACGGGCCCCCGCAAUCCCUGCGGGCUCCGCCGCUGCUCUCACCGCUCAAAACGGCAGGUGCAAAAAGCAUUUGGGAGCCGCUUGCCAGCGCGCGGAGGUAAUGCGCUUCCUGUCCAUUUAUCUCAGGAAACCAGUGCAGCCUUCCCUUCGAAACAAAAUUAACCUCUCAUUAGCCAGCCACUCGCUCCCAAGAAGGCCUUAAAAGCUUUACCAGCUCGCUAAUGUAUUUAGGCUUUUCUUCCAGGCAAACGCAGCCGCCGGUCUUGACUGCCAUCGCCCAAGGGGUUCCUCUGGGCUCUCCCGCGAGCCAACAGCCGACCUCUCUCCAGCCUAGUCUGGGAAACUCCAGCCAACCCAGGAUCCCAUUUUGUAGUCCCGGGCAGACCCGAAACCCCUGAAAGAACUCCACUCCAGAAGACGCCAGAACAAGUUCCCACGAAUUUCAUGGGCGCCCUUCACAUGAAAACCUCAGCUCCCCUAUCCUCAAGGAACGGGGAAGGGCGCCGGGGAGGGACUUCGGUGGCCAGCUGUCCCUGGGUCGUGGGCGCUGUUUGCUCUGCGGAGCGCCAGCCCUGCACACAGCGGGUGCGGGAAGCGUUGAUGGGAGGCUGGAGGGCGGGGUGAGCGUAAACUAGGAUCUAGCCGGUUCCAGGCGUGGAGAAUCAAAUGUGGUCCUAGAUCUGUAAGUUGCGAAAAGGGGCUUUUGGGAGCGUCAGAGCUUUCUCACUCCGGUCCCCCGCCGCCUUGAGGCUGGCAGAUUUAUACCCCACAGGUGGAUGGAGACCUAAACAAAACAGUCCCGGCCGCUGCCUGCCGCUCGCCCCCCACGUCCCCCGGGCCCACCGCAAACUUCAACAAAAUAAACAACUCACCACAGGCAUUCCCUUGUCUGCAGCGCGACGCUUGCCAGCUGGGAAAAUAAGCCGCAAGCCACGCGGCCGAGGC